CGACCGGCGCAAGGGUGCGUAACGCGUGAGCGACAUGCCCGUGACCGGGGAUAACCGAUGGAAACGUCGCUAACCCCCCAUAUGACGAGGGACCGCAUGAUCCCUUGUUGAAAACCGUGGUGGUCACGGAUUGGCUCGCGUCCCAUUAGCUAGUCGGCGGGGUAACGGCCCACCGAGGCGACGAUGGGUAGGGGUUCUGAGAGGAAGGUCCCCCACAAUGGAACUGAGACACGGUCCAUACUCCUACGGGAGGCAGCAGUGAGGAAUAUUGGUCAAUGGGCGGAAGCCUGAACCAGCCAUGCCGCGUGCGGGACGACGGCCCUACGGGUUGUAAACCGCUUUUGUGUGUGAGCAAUAAGGUGGCUUCGCGCCACCGAUGAGAGUAGCAUACGAAUAAGCAUCGGCUAACUCCGUGCC
rnacentral:rRNA from 1 species